rfam:Erinaceus europaeus unplaced genomic scaffold scaffold00014, whole genome shotgun sequence
GGAUGUGAGGGUGAUCUGGCUGUGACAUCUGUCAACCCAUUGAUCACCGGGGUUGAUUCGGCUAAUCUGGCUGGCUAGGCAAGUGUCCCCUUCCUCCCUCACCGCUCCAUGUACGUCCCUCCUGAAGCUGCACAAAGAGAACCGCCUUCCCCAAAUAGAGGCAGCUCUGUGUUCAGUGGAGAGUACGCGAGUAGCUGCACUCCCCAUGCUAGAACCUCCAAACAAGCUCUCAAAUCAAGAUUUGGAAACUCCCAGGAAUUCACAGACCAUUCUUGGGGAAAUCUAGAGCCUACCAUAGUAUUUUUUUUUAU